AUUGAACGCUGGCGGAAGGCCUAACACAUGCAAGUCGAACGAGUGGCGGACGGGUGAGUAAUGUCUGGGAACCUCCCUGCUGGAGGGGGAUAACUACUGGAAACGGUAGCUAAUACCGCAUACUAUCCGAUGUUCCCAGGUGGGAUUAGCUUGUUGGUGGGGUAACGGCGCACCAAGGCGACUAUCCCUAGCUGGUCUGAGAGGAUGACCAGCCACACUAGACUUGAUACACUGUCCAGACUCCUACGGUACGCAUCAGUGUGGAAUAUUGCACAAUGUGCGCAAGCCUGAUGCAGCCAUGCCGCUGGUAUGAAGAAGUCCUUCGGGUUGUAAAGUACUUUCAGCGGCGAGGCGUUACCCGCAGAAGAAGCACCGGCUAACUCCGUGCCAGCAGCCGCGGUAAUUC
rnacentral:rRNA from 1 species